AAGACUAUAGACCUGCGGAGUACCUGCGGAAGGAUCAUUACCGAGUUUUCAACUCCCAAACCCCAUGUGAACUUAUACCAUUUACAACCGUUGCUUCGGCGGGUUCUCGCCCCGGGCUUUACACCCCGGAACCAGGCGGCCCGCCGGGGGACCCAAACUCUAGAUUUAUAUUUUAGCAUGUCUGAGUGGAAUCAUUACAAAAUGAAUCAAAACUUUCAGCAACGGAUCUCUAGAUCGGAA
rnacentral:misc_RNA from 1 species